GAUGAACGCUGGCGGCGUGCUUAACACAUGCAAGUCGAACGAGGUCCAUGGAGCUUGCUCCGGAAGACCUAGUGGCGAACGGGUGCGUAACACGUGAGAAACCUGCCCCGAUCUCUGGGAUAACAGUUGGAAACGACUGCUAAUACCGGAUGCCGUCACACCGCUUCAUGGCGGAGUGCCGAAAGAUUUAUCGGAUCGGGAGGGUCUCGCGGCCUAUCAGCUAGUUGGAGAGGUAACGGCUCACCAAGGCAUCGACGGGUAGCUGGUCUGAGAGGAUGAUCAGCCACACUGGGACUGAGACACGGCCCAGACUCCUACGGGAGGCAGCAGUGGGGAAUCUUGCACAAUGGGCGAAAGCCUGAUGCAGCAACGCCGCGUGCGGGAUGAAGGCCCUAGGGUUGUAAAC
rnacentral:rRNA from 1 species